rnacentral:lncRNA from 1 species
GUGACAUUUAUCUUCAAGAGUCAAUUAUUUCCUCUAUGGGUGUUCUUGAGCAAAGAUAUCUAGAACACAUUCUCUAUUAAUUUGGGGGUAUGAAAGUACAAAAACUGUUGGUACAUGUUGGAACCUUUAUCUCUAUAAAUGUAUGUAUCAAAUACUGUCAAAUUAGCAUUUCUUUUCCAGUCUUUGCUCACAUUUAAAUGGUUUCUACUGUAUUGUUCUCAGUGAUGUGCAGCUGGUGGUAUUGAUGAGCCCAGCUACCUGAAGCAAACUUCCUCCACUUUUUUUGCAAGAAAAAGAAGUUUAGAGGAAUGCAUUUUGCAGCAUUAUAUGGAAUUUUCCUGUGCAUCUAUCCAGUUACGGAUGGUUACCCAUGCUCCAGAGAUGUCCACUCUCCAAUUAGGAGCACCCUAUUCUUUCAGUGCCUGAGCCAAACCCCAAAGCACUGAAAGGGAGAGUAGAGCUGUGAGUGCCUAGAGGUUGCUACUCUUCACUGUAUCUGUUUUAUCCACUUGUGAAAACUGGUUGGAACAUACGGAUACUUUCCAAGAGUUCUUCAUGCUACUUGAAGAAGGAUUUCCUAAGCAGUAGGUAACAAGGAUAUCACUGGCGGUUUUUAAGCUUGUUCAAAGUGGCUCACUGAAAAACAAACAUACAAAACCUCACAACAAAAGAAAUCUGUUUCGAGUACCUAGCUGACAUGUGCUGCAGGGAACUGAAAAAGCACAAGGCUGAGAAUGUAUCAUCCUGUCAGCUUUGUCAUAACCAGAAUAGUACUUGUCGCUUGUGGAUAUAGUUUUAGUGUAGCUCUGCUGGCCUGUGCUGACCCUUUUCUAUGAGCCAUGCAGCUCAAGAAGAGCUUGAAAGGUUCCAGCAUGGUGUCAGUGCUCGAUUGCCCAUAAAGCCACUUAAAAGCAGAUACAAAACCUGCAGUAGGAACUGCUAAGGUCAAUGGACUCACCCCUUCUUUUCCACCCCAAGUAUUUCAAAACUAGCACUUUUUUGUUUUCUGGAGCAUGAAUUGUGUCAAAAGAGAACAAAUGUAUUACUUUACAUUCAUGUCAUCUUUUUUAUUGUUUUAGUCUUUUACUCUAAAGGUCUGGGGUUUAAAAGGUUUAAAACACCCAUUUAUUGGAGGAGAGUUUGUUUUAGAGUUACCAUACUAAAGAAGAAGGGAAUAUCUAAUCCAGUUCUUAUGCAGGAAAGGAAAAUUGUGUAAAAUUAGAGAAUGAAGUUCAAGCGUACAAAAUCAUGAUUCUUAUUCUAGGUCUGCAGCUACAAUACUGUGCUUUGUGAUGACUCAUUCAACAUUCCUUUACUUAGUCUGCCUGUUGUAAUAUGGUAAAAAUGACAAUAUUUCAUGAAUGUGUACUGACUAAAAAUAAUAAUAAUUCACAUCUUUAUAUCAACACAGUGGCAGAGUAUAGUUGUUUUGUUUAAAGAGUAAAAACUGUGGGAUUUGUUGCAAAUUUUCCCUUUGAUUAAAUAAACUUUUCUGGAUAUGUUGCAAGAAAAUGUUUUGGACAGUCCUUAUGGUCUAGAACACCUUGCUUGUAACAACUUUUAGAAACAUUUGGUAUGUGAUCUUGGCUUGCUCUCAUAACAACUUCGGUGAAGAUGCUUAUCGUUCUUAUUACUAUUAUUAUUUUUAUAUAGCUGAUUAAAUGUCAUAACACUUAGAAAUGAAUGUUCCAUUUAAUUAUAAUAGAAGGACAGCUAUUAGGUGUAGUGAUGACUGUUCUUUAUUCCACUGGCUUUGAAGUUUAACUCCACCCUACAAAGCACCUUCUUCCUGCUUUAUAACCAUAAUUCCCUCUGUAAAAUGCUUGCACAAGAUUUCUGUGUAUUGACACCCAUUCAAAA